rnacentral:lncRNA from 1 species
UUGCAAUAAGAGUUCAAAUAUUUCUUUCUUACGAAAGUCCUUGUGUUCAUUGUAUUGUUCUUGCUUCGUAACAACAUAUAACAAUGGGAUUCCGGUUACCUGGUAUUAGAAGGGCUUCAUUCCAAGCAGCUUCCAAGGCUGUGGAAGUUCCAAAAGGAUAUUUUGCAGUCUAUGUUGGAGAAAACAUGAAGCGGUUUGUAAUUCCUAUCUCAUACUUGAGUCAUCCUUCAUUUCAAGAAUUACUAAACCAAGCCGAAGACAAAUUUGGAUAUGAUCGUCCUACGGGUGGUCUCACGAUUCCUUGCAGGGAGGAUGCAUUCUUAGACCUCAUUUCUCACUUGAAUAGACUGUAAAUCAUACCGUUGGAGACUGACAUAGAUUAGUUGAGGACUUGAGGCAAAUUGAAAUUGCCCACCUUUUGUAACAGGAAAAUGCUUCAAUUAGUUCAUAUUAUUUAUCUGCAAUCUUGAUGAAAUAUAAUAUAUAGAAGAAACAACCAUUGUCUUUCACAUUCUCUUCAAAUUUAGUUUUUAUUCUGUAAUGCAUUAGGUACUUGUUGCACUAAAAUUAAGUUCUAGUUGAAGUAAGAAUUAUAUAUAACCAAUUGAAGACAUUUCACUUAUUGAAUGUUGUUCAAAGACCAAUUGAAGACAUUUCCCUAUUUUUUAUGAAAACAAGGAUGAUCCUAAUUCUUUGAUACAUUGAUCAAAUAAGCAACACAAACAUUUCUCUUAUUCUAAAAUGUUAAGUCUUAGUAACACAAUUAAAUGCAUGAAGAGUGAGUCAAAUUUAUAACUCUUUACUUUCAUGGAGGUACAUUUGCUCUUCAAAUAUUUAAGUUGCAACAGAAAAUUUCAAAGAAACUCUCACCAAAGAAAAAUUACUCUGCAAAAUAUUACAUAAAAUUCCACUUAUUCAUCCCUCAAAGUUACUCUCUAUUUGUAUAGGAGACAACAAGUGAUAGUAUCUAAAUAAGUAGAUCACAAAAUUGUAUAUUUGUACAGAAGUAACUCAUCAAUUUUUUAUUCUUCUUUGCUUUGCAAUAUGGAGUGAACCAUAAAGCUUAUUUUCUUUUAUGUUUCCUUUUAUAGGAGCACAAAAAGAAAUUUUCAUUUUCUCUUCUAAAGAUUCUAAAUUAAGCACAGUACAUUUGAGUUGCAGAAUAGACUGAUAUUUGAGGGGGAAAUGAAAGAAAUAUGCUAGUGUUUAUAAAUCCAAGUAGGAUAACAAGAAAAAGAGAGAACAUUCUUAAUCUAAGAUUGUGUUACAAAAAUUGUCUAUAAGUUAUGUAUGUCUAUGUCAGGCUUGCUUUAUGUUGGUACGGUUAGCAGCUACCGAAGUGUGAAGUAAUGUGUAAGAACACAUCUUCUCUACACGGAAUUGUGAGACCGCCCAUCGGAUGGUCAUACCCAAAUUCUUCCUCGGCUUGACUAAGCAAUUCUUGAAAUGAAGAUUGGUUCAAGUAUGAUAUUGGAAUCACAAAGCGUUUCAUUUUAUCUCCAACAUAUACUGCUACAUAGCCCUUUGGCACUUCCCGUACAUUAGAGGAUGCUUUGUUUGCAUAAAAUGAUGUUCUUCUGAUGCUAGGUAAACGAAAUCCCAUUGUUGCGUCGGUUGAGAAGAAACUUACUUGUAACUGAAAUAUAUUGAAGUUUUUGAGUUUUGAAUGCUUCAGGAUGUGAAUGAUGUUUGCUGGUCUUAGAUGCUUGCAGCCAUGAAUAUAUAUAGCAGAAUGGAUAUGUAAGGAACCAUUGGCUACUUGAAUGAUUGGCGGAGUCAUGGGACCAAUUAGUGGACAAGGGCAUUCAAGACAUCACAUGGUGUUGUCGAAGAAGAGUUUCUCAAUGAUCAAUGUGUUGUAGUAGUUAACAGGAGUCCCACGAUGUGGACGGAAGACCAAUGAAUGAAGAAGGGGCCCUGCAAAUGUCAUGUAUGCAAAGUUCACGUGGUGCUGCUUGGAAUCGGAUGUACAUAUAAAAUAUGGUUCGUCGUGGCUUGUGAUCAUGUCACUUGUAUUCAAUUAUGGAUUUCUUAUUGUCUCCAAACACUACAUGUUUAAGAGCUAUUAUUAAUCAGGUCAUGCUCAACGUAUACAGAUUCGACAUUGUCACUAUGAUAUUAAUUGGUAGAUGAAUAAGAGCAGAACUAUGAAUUGAAGAAACAUGUGAGUUGUCUAAAGCAUGUCUCAUGUUAUUGCUAUGAUGCUAUCCAUAGCCAUAUAAUUUAUAAGGCUAAUAUUAAUGGCAUCUAGGCCUUAUCAAAAUGAAGAAAACAUGUGCAGUUGUCUGUAGCAUGUCUAUAAAAAUCAGAAUUCAUUAGUCCAUCAACACACAUUAGACAAGUUGUUAGUACUUGAUAGUGCCAUUAAUAAGCAAUACCAUGUGAACUUUCUUCUGCAUGGCCCUACCUUUAACCCCUUCAUCAAUUAUUUCUCUAUGAAUUAGAAAUCAAGAGACUCUUAAAAUCUAUAUAUAAACACCCUCUUGCCUUUACAAGCAACACAAGACAUUCACAUCCUCAAACAUUAUAACUUGUACACUUUCUUCCCAACUUUGAGAACUUUGCUUUGUUCUUCUUCCUGCAACUAACACAAAAAUGGGUUUCCGUUUACCUGCUAUUCGAAGACCAUCAUUCAGUUCCACCCAAGCAGCUUCAAAAUGUGUUGAAGUCCCAAAGGGGUACCUUGCAGUGUAUGUUGGAGAGAAACAGAAACGGUUUGUGAUCCCGAUAUCAUAUUUGAACCAGCCGUCAUUCCAAGACUUGUUGAGUCAAGUUGAGCAAGAGUUCGGAUAUCAUCAUCCAAUGGGUGGCCUAACAAUUCCUUGCAGCGAAGAUAUCUUUCAAAAUAUUACAUCUUGCUUGAAUAGAUUGUAAAUCUGUCAUUAUAGGUGACUAACAUAGAUUAGUAUAGACAUUUUGUACAAUUAUCAUCUUCUCAACUUGUAAAAAGGAGACUAUUUGAAUGAAAUACUCACAAGCUUUUAGUAAUGACAAUGAAUUCAAUUACUCAAGUAGUUUAUGUAUAUUACUUACAGAUUACAAUAAUCACUUGUACCUAAAAUUAUGGGCUUACUAAGUAUGAAUGAUCAAGGCAUCUUGCUGCAAGAAAAACAGAACUUGGUUAGUUUCAAUAAAUUUCAUUGCCAUGGCAGAGCUAGAAUAUUUUUCAUUCUAUGAUUCUGUAUGUUUAGGUUUUUACUUUCUUUAUCCAAGUUUUGUUUAGCAUCACUCAAUUUUCAAGUGUCGAUGACGAGGGCUGUAUUUAUCAUAUUUCUGUGUUUCAAACAAAGGUCAAGUACUGUUUCUCUACAUUUACUUAUUUUCUCAUUCUAACUAGCUCUUUGGUCAAUGUGGAAAAUUGAAAGAAAAAGUUAGAGAAAUGGCACAAAUCAAUAAAGCUCCAAUUUUCAACUUCUAAAAUUUGAGGUUAAGCUAUAAGCAUUGUUUUAAAUAAUUGAAUCAUAGAUUUAACUCGCCAAAUCUUCAAAUUUUGGUUCAUUUGAUACAAUCAGUUAAAAUUGUGCCUAAACUGGUUAUGUUAGAUCCAGAAACAUGGCUAUAUAAGACUAUAUAAUGGAUCCACUACUUUGAUCAAAAACUGGAUAGAGUACAAGCAAUAUUUUGGUUACAUGAAUGAUGCAACAAAUCUAUAUAACCAAUGUACAGUACAGAAUUUUGUACUAUUUCAGUGAUUAUUGAAGUACAAAAUUUUGUUACAUUAGGUGGGAACUUGGGAUAUUAUCUUUUAAAGUACACAAUUUUGUUACAUGGAGAAUGCAAGAAAUGGUACAUAACCACUAUGCAGUACACAAUUUUGUACUGUUUCAGUGAUUAUUGAAGUGGUUGCCUCAAUUAUGGGACCAUAGUCACAUUCACAUGCUUCAUGUCUUGCAAAUAUUAGUAAUAUCAGUUCGGAUAUUAUCACAAAAAAAUGUAAUCUUCUCAUUUUUAAAUGUGAUAUGUUCCAAGCAUGUCAGGAACAUUACAAGUAGGCUAUUACAUCAACUAUACAAUUAUUACCUUAUUGAUUGUUAAGUCUCUUUCCGAAGACGGCAACUCUGUUGGCAUGAAUUCUAAUAUCUGAAGUAACCCUUUAACACAUUGGAGACAAUACCAUGUGAUAUUUCAUGAUACUUGUCUCAACCAUUCAUUUCAGUACUGAUAAUGUAUAUCUAUAUAUACUCAUCAUGGCAUUCUUAACCAAAACAAGUCAUUUGCAAUAAGAGUUCAAAUAUUUCUUUCUUACAAAAGUCCUUGUGUUCAUUGUAUUGUUCUUGCUUCGUAACAACAUAUAACAAUGGGAUUCCGGUUACCUGGUAUUAUUAGAAGGGCUUCAUUCCAAGCAGCUUCCAAGGCUGUGGAAGUUCCAAAAGGAUAUCUUGCAGUCUAUGUUGGAGAAAACAUGAAGCGGUUUGUAAUUCCAAUCUCAUACUUGAGUCAACCUUCAUUUCAAGAAUUACUAAACCAAGCCGAAGACGAAUUUGGAUAUGAUCAUCCUACGGGUGGUCUCACGAUUCCUUGCAGGGAGGAUGCUUUCUUAGACCUCAUUUCAUACUUGACCAGACUGUAAAUCAUACCGAAGGAGACUGACAUAGAUUAGUUGAGGACUUGAGGCAAAGUGAAAUUGGCCAUCUUUUGUAACUAUAAAGUUCAUCUACUUAUGAAUAGAGAGAUAUUACAUUUUUGUGUCAAAUUUCAAUCACUUCAUAUUAUUUAUCUACAACUUUGUCAAAGUUUAAUAUAUGGAAGAGACAACCCUUAUCUUGCAUAUUCUCUUCAUAUACAAUUCCACUUAUUCAUCCUUCAAAGUUAUUGUCUAUUUGAAAAAGAUACAACAAGUGAUAGUAGCUAAUUAAGUAGAUCAGAAAAUUAUGUAUUUCAAUUUCCUAAGUUUACUCCUGCUCAUGUUUCUUCUCUCAGUGCAACUUUUAGCAUUUUUAAGUUUCACAUCUAACCCUGGUUUAUUUUAACUUGGAACUCAAGUAACAUACAUUUUGUAUCGAAUAACUAUGUCGAUGUUUCUUUUGUACAUAAGCGACUCGUACAAUUUUAUACCAUAUAUUCGCCGUUAUUGAAUCAUAUUAGUUGCUGCGAUCUUUUCUUCUUUUUUGUUUUGCAAUAUGAAGUGAACCAUAAAGCUGAUUUUCUUUUAUGUUUCCUUUUUUAUGAGCACAAAAAAGAAAAUUUCAUUUUCUCUACUAAAGAUUCUAAAUUGAGCACAGUGCAUUGAGUUGCAGAACAGACUAAGAUUUGAGGAGAAAAUGAAAGAAAUAUGCUAGUGUUAAUAAAUUUCUGGUUCAUAUAUUGUACACUUCCAGGUAGGAUAAUCAGAAAAAGAGAGAACAUUUUCAAUCUAAGAUUGUGUUACAAAAAUUGUCUAUAAGUAAUGUAUGUUAUGUCAAGCUUGCUUUAUGUUGGUAUUGUUAGCAGCUACCGAAGUGUGAAGUAAUGUUCAAGAACACAUCUUCUCUACACGGAAUCGUGAGACCGCCCAUUGGAUGGUCAUAUCCAAAUUCUUCCUCGGCUUGAUUGAGCAAUUCUUGAAAUGAAGAUUGGUUCAAGUAUGAUAUUGGAAUCACAAAUCGUUUCAUUUGCUGUCCAACAUACACUGCUACAUAGCCCUUCGGCACUUCCACUACAUGUGAAGAUGCUUUGUUUGCAUUAAAUGAUGUCCUUAUGAUGCUAGGUAAACGAAAACCCAUUGUUGCGUCUGUUGAGAAGAAAAUUUAAACGGAUUAUAUUGAAGUUUUUGAGUUUUGAAUGCUUCAGGAUGUGAAUGAUUUUUGCUGGUCUUAGAUGCUUGCAGGCAUGAAUAUAUAUAGCAGAAUGGAUAUGUAAGGAACCAUUGGCUACUUGAAUGAUCGGUGGAGUCAUGGCCCAUGGGACCUAUUAGUGGACAAGGGCAUUCAAGAGGUCACAUGGUGUUGUCUAAGAGAACUUUCUCAAUGAUCAAUGUGUUGUAAUUGUUAACAAGAGUCCCACCAUAUGAAUGGAGGACUAAUGAAUGAAGAAGGGCCCCUGCAAAUAUCAUGUAUGCAAAGUUCACAUGGUGUUGCUUCAAAUCAGAGGUACAUAUAGAAUGUGGUUCAUGAUGGCUUGUGAUCAUGUCACCUGUAUUCAAUUCUGGUUUUCUUAUUGUCUUCAAACACUACAUGUUUAAGAGCUAUUAUUGAUCAGGUCCUGAUAAACUUAUACAGAUUUGACAGACGAAUAAGAGCAGAACUAUGAAUUGAAGAAACAUGUGACUUGUCUAAAGCAUGUCUCAUGGUAUUGCUAUCCAUAGCCAUAUAAUUUAUGAGGCUAAUAUUAAUGGCAUCUAGGCCUUAUCAAAAUGAAGAAAACAUGUGAAGUUGUCUGUAGCAUGUCUAUAAAAAUCAGAACUAUUCAUUAGUCCAUCAACACACACAUUGGGUUUUACCAUAGCACAACUCAUGUUAAUGCAAGUGGCUUUUGUUUUGGCCAUUCCUUUGAGAAGGUAGAGCAUGCACACUUAGACAAGUUGUUAGUACUUGAUAGUGCCAUUUAUAGGCAAUACCAUGUGAACUUUCUUCUGCAUGGCCCCAUACUUUAACCCUUUCAUCAAUUAUAUCUCUAGGAAUUCGGUUUGAAGAGACUCUUAAAAUCUAUAUAUAAACACCCUCUUGCCUUUAGAAGCAACACAACACAACACAUUCACAUCCUUAAACAUUAUAAUUUAUACACUUUCUUCCCAACUUUGAGAACUUUGUCUUUCUAUUCUUCCUGCAACUAACACAAAAAUGGGUUUCCGUUUACCUGCUAUUCGAAGAGCAUCAUUCAGUGCCAGCCAAGCAGCUUCAAAAUGUGUUGAAGUCCCAAAGGGGUACCUUGCGGUGUAUGUUGGAGAGAAACAGAAACGGUUUGUGAUCCCGAUAUCAUAUUUGAACCGGCCUUCAUUUCAAGACUUGUUGAGUCAAGCUGAGGAAGAGUUUGGAUAUGAUCAUCCAAUGGGCGGUCUCACAAUUCCUUGCAGUGAACUUAUCUUCCGACAAACAACUUCUCGCUUGAAUGGGAUAUAAAUGCCACAUUGUAGAUGACUGACAUAGAUUAGUAGUAAAAAUUUGUACAACAGAUUAGUAUGUAGACCAUUUGAAUGAUAAAUUCACAGAUUAUAUCAUCUGUUUUUGUGUCUAAUGAUAACAAACUCAACUUCUCAAGUGCUUCCCUUUAUUACCUACAUUGUUCACUUUUCCCUGCACUUAGUCUCUGAUGUUCUUUUCUCAAAAGCAAGACUACUCACCCUAACAAGAAUGAGACUAUUUGUUAUAAUAAAUUCUAAAUCAAAACAUAUAUGUGUAUCAUCAUACAUAAGAUACCACCUUUGCACAUUGUCACAGAUUAGCUGAAGCAAAUUGAAAUUGUACAGAAGACACAUUCAAUUUUCUGUUUGUCCUUUUGUAACUGAAAAAUGCAUCUGUUUUGAACAGUUAUGAAUGGAGAUAUUAUACCUUUUUGUUCAAGUUAGAAUUAUGUUAUUUUAUUUUAAGGCUAAUAGCCUCGGCACAACGGUAAGAUUGCUUGUCUUGUAACCUGGAGGUCAUGGUUUCGAUUCCUGCAAACAACAUCUUCGCUUGUGAGGAUAAGGUUGCAAACAUUUACCCUCCCUAGACCUACUAGGUGGGCGCUUCGGAAUUACAUAUCAAUAAGGAAGACAGUGGUUGUCAAACCAUACCUGUCUCCUGAAGAAGUGGAAGCUAAUCUCAUGAAUGCAUUGUCUUGAUCCUAC